rnacentral:rRNA from 1 species
UUACUCCAUGGAUGUCGCCCACCCACGUGUGGGUCCUUCCCCUCUUUCCUGUGCCGAAUCUUUGCUGCCCACACCACCCAUGGCGUCUCUCAAACCGGCGGCAAGGAAGCGGGUGCAUGGCAACACGCAAGGCCAUCGCAACCCUUCAGACCCGCCUAGAGGCCACCAACAUUCGGCCCACUGGCCUCUUGCCUCUCGUGCCUGCAUGUAGAACCAACGCCACCCCCAAGCCGACACAUCGAGGAAGAGGGUGUCGGCGCGAAAGUGGUUGGUCGUUGAGCUGGCGGGAGGGCCCUCUAACCCUCGCGCCUCCCUCCCACCCCUCAAAGCCCUUCUCCACCCGCCAUUGAUACCGACAAGCUCGGCAUGGUUGACGCCUCUGAGGUACUCGACUGAAUGCCCACAAGUUACGAAUUCUUUCAUGAGCAUGAUGAGUGACUCCGGGCGCAUAGAUGGCAUCAACUAUUGGUUGUGACACUUCAUGUGGCAGGGGAAAUGAUCAAACCGGCGUCAACUAUUGGAAAGGUCGUUAAGGAGGAAUUUCAUUGCAACGUGAAGACCCUCCUACCGAUGUGAACUGCUCCCUCCGUCCCAUAAUAUAAGAACGUUUUUGAUGUAGUGCCAAAAACGUUCUUAUAUUAUGGGACAGAGGGAGUAUUACAGAUUAUGUGGUUCAUUCGGAUGUGAUGUAUAGCAUUGUAAUGUUGUUGAGUUGUGUGGGGUAGAAACAUAAAAGUAUGAAAUCUUGUGAUGUGAAAUUGAAAGUUGUUGGAGAUGUACGGAAGGAAGAUAAAUGGAUGGGGAGAGAUGUAGGGGUUGCACUUGCAGUUUAAAGGGAUCUGCUGGAGUUGAGCACCGUGGAUUGUGCAUGCCCUGAUGAAAUCCUGGACCUUGUCAAACCGGUGGUUCCUUUGC